ACUCAAAGGAAUUGACGGGGGCCCGCACAAGCGGUGGAGCAUGUGGUUCAAUUCGACGCAACGCGAAGAACCUUACCUGGGCUCGAAGUGCAGUGGACCAGGGUGGAAACAUCCUUUUCUCGCAAGAGACUGCUGUAUAGGUGCUGCAUGGCUGUCGUCAGCUCGUGUCGUGAGAUGUUGGGUUAAGUCCCGCAACGAGCGCAACCCUUAUCGUUAGUUGCUAACAGGUUAAGCUGAGCACUCUAGCGAAACCGCCCCGGACAACGGGGAGGAAGGUGGGGAUGACGUCAAGUCCUCAUGGCCUUUAUGUCCAGGGCUACACACGUGCUACAAUGGUCGGUACAAACCGUCGCAAACCCGCGAGGGGGAGCUAAUCGGAAAAAGCCGACCUCAGUUCGGAUUGGAGUCUGCAACUCGACUCCAUGAAGCUGGAAUCGCUAGUAAUCGCGGAUCAUCAUGCCGCGGUGAAUACGUUCCCGGGCCUUGCACACACCGCCCGU
rnacentral:rRNA from 1 species